ACCACCGAUUUCAUGGGCCCGGCGGUGAUCUUCUCCAAGCCGAUCAUCAAGGAAGGCUAUGCGCUGGUGACGGCGAAAGGCCGCAAGAUUUCCGGGCUUGCGGACCUCAAGCAGUUGCGGGUCGCGGUUCAAUACCAGACCACGCCGCAAAACAUGCUGGCGCAGCGCGACGAGAUCGAGAAAGUCACGGUCCUCAGUCCCGA
rnacentral:misc_RNA from 1 species